AAUUAAAAAUACUAAAAUUUUAGGGGUUGAAAUUGAAUUGCUUCAUACAUCAGUUCAGCCGCGCCUCCACUCUUCCAUUCUUCUACCUCCGACCCCGCACCAGUCACCAGACUCACCACCUCUAGCCACGCCGCCUCGCCGCGCCGCGCCUCCCCUCUCCGGCGCAUCCAACCCAAUCUGUCUCCCACCAGGCAACCACCGAACCACGCCGCUUCCCACCUGAGCCCAGCGGGCCAGCGCCAUCGCGCCUCGACUCCUCUCCAUCUCCCACCGCCGCGCCUCUUCCCACCUGAACUGAGCAGCUAUCGUCGUCGUCUGCUGCUUCUAGUCCGCCGCAAUUUCCGCUCACUCCAUCUACUCCGAUGGUGAAGAUGAUGAGCAAGAAGACAUAGAUCAAGUUGAAGCACCAAAUAUUAUCAAUGUUGAAGAAGAGUGUUACUCAAAUGUUUAGACUUUAUAUUAAUUUUUGAGAUGCUUUGUUUCCUUAAUUUCAAAUUAUUGUUGAAUAUUUUGUUUUUAUUUUUUUAACAAGUUGAACAUUUAUUGUUAUUAACUUGUUUUAUAUGUUAUGCGAUCUUGAAUAUUUUAUA